rnacentral:lncRNA from 1 species
CCCAGAACAGAACCUAAAAAUUUGUCGAAUCCUAAAACAAAGCGCUCGGAUCAGAGAGAUUGCAUCCAGAGCAGAAGUUUAAGACCCAUUUAAAAUUUUUAUUUUCUGUGCUUCGCCACCUUCAUCCUUUAAAGAGACAAAUGCCGAGACCAGACUUUGGCGCACAGCCAUGAGAUACCUCAGAGCGAAGAGUGAAGUCGCU